AUAAAGUUCCUUUGGGUAAGAAGUACUACUUGUCAUCAAAGUGGAUAAAAGGAGAUGUAUCUAGACGUAUUUUAGUUCUAGAUACGUCCCUUUUUAUCCAUUUUGAUGACAAGUAUUUUCGGACAGAGGGAGCUUAUA
rfam:Triticum aestivum genome assembly, contig: Triticum_aestivum_CS42_TGACv1_scaffold_221911_3B